rnacentral:rRNA from 1 species
AGGGAAUCUUCGGCAAUGGGCGAAAGCCUGACCGAGCAACGCCGCGUGAAUGAAGAAGGCCUUCGGGUUGUAAAAUUCUGUUAUAAGGGAAGAAAGGUGAUAGGAGGAAAUGACUAUCAAUUGACGGUACCUUAUGAGAAAGCCACGGCUAACUACGUGCCAGCAGCCGCGGUAAUACGUAGGUGGCAAGCGUUAUCCGGAAUUAUUGGGCGUAAAGAGCGCGCAGGUGGUUAAUUAAGUCUGAUGUGAAAGCCCACGGCUUAACCGUGGAGGGUCAUUGGAAACUGGUUGACUUGAGUGCAGAAGAGGGAAGUGGAAUUCCAUGUGUAGCGGUGAAAUGCGUAGAGAUAUGGAGGAACACCAGUGGCGAAGGCGGCUUCCUGGUCUGUAACUGACACUGAGGCACGAAAGCGUGGGGAGCAAACA